CCAUGGUGAUGGCAAAUAAGCCUCAACUGCCUCAGCUACAACUGCCAAGUUUCCCGCGUUCCACCCCCCUCUGGGUGCUCAGAGGGACGAUCGAAGUGCCGGAUGUGAAGAGCGGGAGCGUGGAGACUCGGAGCCCGAGCCACAAAAGAUUGCACACAAACUGGUUUGAUGCUCUCCUGACCAGUGUCCCUUCUCUGAUGCUUGGUCCUGAAGGCAGUGGAAGCCAAACUUACCCUGGCGCUGUCUGCUGAGCUGUGCAGAAUUUCCAACAUUGAAGAUGGAGCAUCAGCCAGUUGCCGUGUUGAGACGCUCUCCUGGCCAGGAAAUGAGGCGCCUGCCAAUAGUCGUGUGGUGUGCCAUCCUGGAAUUGGAUCCUUGAGCCCUGGCCAAGCCUUCAGGUGACUGCAGCCUGGCUGAGAGUUGCAGUGCCACCUCAAGAGAAAGCCUGAGCCAGAACUGCACAGAUGAGCUGCUCCUGACUCUCAGAAAUGGUGUGAGAUAAACAUUUGUUGUUUUAAGCCACCAGAUUAUGGGUUAUUUGUUAUGUAACAACUAAUAAACUGCUUGCGAAUUUGUGAGUCUGUAGCAAUUUCCUAAGAACUAUAUUGGAAAGGACA